rnacentral:rRNA from 1 species
UGGGGAAUAUUGGACAAUGGGGGGAACCCUGAUCCAGCCAUGCCGCGUGUGUGAAGAAGGCCUUAUGGUUGUAAAGCACUUUAAGCGAGGAGGAGGGUACUGGUAUUAAUACUACCAGUUACUGGACGUUACUCGCAGAAUAAGCACCGGCUAACUCUGUGCCAGCAGCCGCGGUAAUACAGAGGGUGCGAGCGUUAAUCGGAUUUAUUGGGCGUAAAGCGUGCGUAGGCGGCUAAUUGAGUCGGAUGUGAAAUCCCCGAGCUUAACUUGGGAAUUGCAUUCGAAACUGGUUAGCUAGAGUGUGGGGGAGGAUGGUAGAAUUCCAGGUGUAGCGGUGAAAUGCGUAGAGAUCUGGAGGAAUACCGAUGGCGAAGGCAGCCAUCUGGCCUAACACUGACGCUGAGGUACGAAAGCAUGGGGAGCAAACAGG